rnacentral:rRNA from 1 species
CCUACGGGUGGCAGCAGUGAGGAAUAUUGGUCAAUGGACGAGAGUCUGAACCAGCCAAGUAGCGUGAAGGAUGACUGCCCUAUGGGUUGUAAACUUCUUUUAUAUGGGAAUAAAAUGUUCCACGUGUGGGAUUUUGUAUGUACCAUAUGAAUAAGGAUCGGCUAACUCCGUGCCAGCAGCCGCGGUAUUAGGAGGAACCGGGCGUUUUCCGGAUUUAUUGGGUUUAAAGGGGGCGUAGGUGGAUUGUUAAGUCAGUUGUGAAAGUUUGCGGCUCAACCGUAAAAUUGCAGUUGAAACUGGCAGUCUUGAGUACAGUAGAGGUGGGCGGAAUUCGUGGUGUAGCGGUGAAAUGCUUAGAUAUCACGAAGAACUCCGAUUGCGAAGGCAGUUCACUGGACUGCAACUGACACUGAGGCUCGAAAGUGUGGGUAUCAAACAGGAUUAGAUACCCUAGUAGUC